rnacentral:rRNA from 1 species
GACGAACGCUGGCGGCGUGCUUAACACAUGCAAGUCGAACGGAAAGGCCCUGCUUUUGUGGGGUGCUCGAGUGGCGAACGGGUGAGUAACACGUGAGUAACCUGCCCUUGACUUUGGGAUAACUUCAGGAAACUGGGGCUAAUACCGGAUAGGAGCUCCUGCUGCAUGGUGGGGGUUGGAAAGUUUCGGCGGUAGGGGAUGGACUCGCGGCUUACCAGCUUGUUGGUGGGGUAGUGGCAUACCAAGGGUUUGACGGGUAGCCGGCCUGAGAGGGUGACCGGCCACAUGGGGACUAAGAGACGGCCCAGACUCGUACGUGAGGCAGCAGUGGGGAAUAUUACACAAUGGGCGGAAGCCUGAGGCAGCGACGCCGGGUGCGGGAUGACGGCCUUCGGGUUGUAAACCGCUUUCGCCUGUGACGAAGCGUGAGUGACGGUAAUGGGUAAAGAAGCACCGGCUAACUACGUG